rnacentral:tRNA from 1 species
UAAUUAAGUAAGCUAUUGUUUAAGCUUCUAGGUUCAUACCCUAAAUAAAGAUUUUAUUUCUCUUAAUUAU